rnacentral:rRNA from 1 species
UACAGAGGGUGCAAGCGUUGUUCGGAAUUACUGGGCGUAAAGGGUGCGUAGGCGGUUAGUUAAGUCUGUUGUGAAAUCCCCGGGCUCAACCUGGGAAUGGCAAUGGAUACUGGCUGGCUAGAGUGUGUCAGAGGAUGGUGGAAUUCCCGGUGUAGCGGUGAAAUGCGUAGAGAUCGGGAGGAACACCUGUGGCGAAAGCGGCGCACUGGACCAUAACUGACGCUGAGGCGCGAAAGCUAGGGGAGCAAACAGG